rnacentral:rRNA from 1 species
UACGAAGGGGGCUAGCGUUGCUCGGAAUUACUGGGCGUAAAGGGCGCGUAGGCGGAUAUCUAAGUUGGGGGUGAAAUCCCGGGGCUCAACCUCGGAAUUGCCUUCAAAACUGGAUAUCUUGAGUUCGGGAGAGGUGAGUGGAACUCCGAGUGUAGAGGUGAAAUUCGUAGAUAUUCGGAAGAACACCAGUGGCGAAGGCGACUCACUGGCCCGAUACUGACGCUGAGGCGCGAAAGCGUGGGGAG